rnacentral:rRNA from 1 species
UACGUAGGGGGCAAGCGUUGUCCGGAUUUAUUGGGCGUAAAGAGCGUGUAGGCGGCUGGGUAGGUCCGUUGUGAAAACUCGAGCUCAACCUCGAGACGCCGAUGGAAACCCCCCAGCUAGAGUCCGGAAGAGGAGAGUGGAAUUCCGGGUGUAGCGGUGGAAUGCGUAGAGAUCCGGAAGAACACCGGUGGCGAAGGCGGCCUGCUGGGCAGUUGCUGACACUGAGGCGCGACAGCGUGGGAGGACAG